CGCGUGGGAACCUGCCUUUUCUGCGGGAGUAACGGUUGGAAACGAACCGCUAAUACCGCAUACGCCCUACCGGGGAAAGGGUAACGCCGGACGAAAGAAGGGGCCCGGCCGUCUGAUUAGUUAGUUGGUGGGGUAACGGGCCUACCAAGGCGACGAUCAGUAGCUGGUCUGAGAGGAUGAUCAGCCACACUGGGACUGAGACACGGCCCAGACUCCUACGGGAGGCAGCAGUGGGGAAUAUUGGACAAUGGGGGCGAACCCUGAUCCAGCAAUGCCGCGUGUGUGAUGAAGGCCUUAGGG
rnacentral:rRNA from 1 species